AGUGAGCUAGAUGGGCACUAAAUAAAGUUGUUUCGCCCUACAAAGCUUAGAAAGGAAGUGGUCACUGGUCACGGUGAGCAGGCCCAUGAAUCAGUGGGAAGCCUAAAGUGAUUAUCACUACAUCCACCUGUCGUACGACGGGCGGAAACUUUCAUCGCUCAUCUAGCUCAUUC
rfam:Bacteriovorax sp. BAL6_X ctg7180000028174, whole genome shotgun sequence.